rnacentral:rRNA from 1 species
GACGAACGCUGGCGGCGUGCUUAACACAUGCAAGUCGAACGAUGAAGCGGGUGCUUGCACUCGUGGAGUAGUGGCGAACGGGCGAGUAACACGUGAGUAACCUGUCCUUUUCUUUGGGAGAACGGCUGGAAACGGCUGCUAAUACUGGAUAUUCAGGCUGCAUCGCAUGGUGUGGUUUGGAAAGGUGUUUUCUGGGGUUGGGUGGGCUCGCGGCCUGUCAGCUUGGUGGUGGGGGGAUGGCUCAACAAGGCUUUGACGGGUAGCCGGGCUGAGGGGGUGGUCGGUCGCACUGGGACGGAGCUACGGCCCAGACUCCUACGGGGGGCAGAAGUGGGGAAUAUUGGAGCAUGGACGAUAGUUUGAUGCAGCGUCGGUGCGUGGAGGGUGUAGGCCGUCGGGUUGUGAACUCCUUUUUCUCGCGAAACAGGCACAGUUUUGGCUGUGUUGAUGGUAGUGGGAGAAGAAGCGCCGGCUAACUACGUG